AAGUAGUUUCGCUUCGAUCGCAUCGAAACAGGUCGUAGCGGUCAUCACACAGUUCACCCUUAUAGAAACCCUCUUUAAGCCAUGUUUCAGUGAUAAUGACAACGUCGUGAUCACAUGUUAAUAGAUGAUUUCUGAAUUGCACAGUUUUUUGCGUUUAGUAAAUUACUACAGAGUAGUAUCUCGAAUCGCUGAUAACAAUAGAUGCAAUUUUUAUUUAUACGAUAAGCACGAAUCAUGGUAUUUGUAUAGAUGCAGUGUAAAUGAGAAUCAAUGCGUUGUGUGAUGUACAAAAGUAGUGUAUGCGUAUGUGUUUUAUAAGGUGUUGUGUUUUGUAAUUUUGUGGUAUGUGCCGUGGUGUAAGGUGUUUGCCAACAAUGAAGGGAUAAGACUAAACAGCAAUAAAUAAUACGUAGUAAAAUAAUAGACU